UAGGGUGACCAACCAUCCUGGUUUGCCUGGGAAUGAGGGUUUUCCCGGGAUGCGGGACUCUGAGCACUAAAACUGGGACAGUC
rnacentral:miRNA from 1 species